UACGUAGGGGGGCGAGCGUUGUCCGGAAUCAUUGGGCGUAAAGGGCUCGUAGGCGGUCUGUCACGUCAGGAGUGAAAACUCGGGGCUCAACCCCGAGCCUGCUUCUGAUACGGGCAGACUGGAGGUAUGCAGGGGAGAACGGAAUUCCUGGUGUAGCGGUGAAAUGCGCAGAUAUCAGGAGGAACACCGGUGGCGAAGGCGGUUCUCUGGGCAUUACCUGACGCUGAGGAGCGAAAGUGUGGGGAGCGAACAGG
rnacentral:rRNA from 1 species